GACAGAGGGUGCAAACGUUGUUCGGAAUUACUGGGCGUAAAGGCGUGUGUAGGCUGCCCCCGCAAGUCGGGUGUGAAAGCCCCGGGCUCAACCUGGGAAGUGCACUCGAAACUGCGGGGCUGGAGUCCUGGAGAGGAAGGCGGAAUUCUCGGUGUAGAGGUGAAAUUCGUAGAUAUCGAGAGGAACACCGGUGGCGAAGGCGGCCUUCUGGACAGUGACUGACGCUGAGACACGAAAGCGUGGGGAGCAAACAGGGAUUAAGAA
rnacentral:rRNA from 1 species